ensembl:lncRNA
CAAAGCCUUUCCCCAACCUCCCCGGGGGAGUGAGUGCCUGCCAGUCAGCUCAUUUACAUUGUAAUAAGAGUCUGUCUGUCUUUUUAUCUUGAAAAAAAAAAAAAAUGAGUGUCUUUGACAGUAAUUCUUCCCUGAUGAGAUGUCUGAUAGGCUGCCUUUCCUAGACAAAAAGUUGCUGUAUCACAGUGUUUUACAGAUAAGAGGAAAACUGUCAAGAUCCAAAUAAAGGUGGUGCUCAGACAGUAAAGAAUUUGCCUGGAAUGUGAGGGAGAUCUGAGUUCAAUUCCUGGGUCAGGAAGAUCCCCUGGAGAAGGGAAUGGAAACCCACUCCAGUAUUCUUGCCUGGAGAAUUCCAUGGACAGAGGAGCCUAUCGGGCUACAGUCCAUGGAGUCGAAAAGAGUCGGAUGUGACUGAGCAACUAACAUUGGUUCUUAGCUCUGCCUCUCUAAUCCUGACAUUCCCCUGGAGAGUCCUGCAGAGCCGUAUCUCUGGAAAGGAGAAGCAGAGGUGGCUGCAGCCCUCGUGGAGGAUGAGAGAACACACCCACAGGAGCCAGAAUCACUGCAUUUCAUCUCACUUCAGAAGUCCUCAAAUGCAAGAAGAACCACCAGGGAGCAGGAGGAAGAAAAGGAGGAAGAAGACAAGAAUUCUGCCAUCACAUGGUGAUCCAUCACUUUGAUGCCACUUAAAAUUUUUAUUUUACACUCAUUGAAAGAGCUGUUUUAUAGUGUUUUAGCAAUGGCAACCCACUCCAGUACUCUUGCCUGGAAAAUCUCAUGGACGGAGGAGCCUGGUAGACUGCAGUCCAUGAGGUCACUAAGAGUCAGACAAGACUGAGCGAC